UACGUAGGGUGCGAGCGUUAAUCGGAAUUACUGGGCGUAAAGGGUGCGUAGGCGGUUCGUUAAGUCUGUUGUGAAAUCCCCGGGCUCAACCUGGGAAUGGCAAUGGAUACUGGCGGGCUAGAGUGUGGCAGAGGAUGGUGGAAUUCCCGGUGUAGCGGUGAAAUGCGUAGAGAUCGGGAGGAACAUCAGUGGCGAAGGCGGCCAUCUGGGACAACACUGACGCUGAAGCACGAAAGCGUGGGGAGCAAACAGG
rnacentral:rRNA from 1 species